GACGAACGCUGGCGGCGUGCUUAACACAUGCAAGUCGAACGGAAAGGCCCUGCUUUUGUGGGGUGCUCGAGUGGCGAACGGGUGAGUAACACGUGAGUAACCUGCCCUUGACUUUGGGAUAACUUCAGGAAACUGGGGCUAUUACCGGAUAGGAGCUCCUGCUGCAUGGUGGGGGUUGGAAAGUUUCGGCGGUUGGGGAUGGACUCGCGGCUUAUCAGCUUGUUGGUGGGGUAGUGGCUUACCAAGGCUUUGACGGGUAGCCGGCCUGAGAGGGUGACCGGCCACAUUGGGACUGAGAUACGGGCCAGACUCCUACGGGAGGCAGCAGUGGGGAAUAUUGCACAAUGGGCGGAAGCCGGAUGCAGCAACGCCGCGUGCGGGAUGACGGCCUUCGGGUUGGAAACCGCUUUCGCCUGUGACGAAGCGUGAGUGACGGUAAUGGGUAAAGAAGCACCAGCUAACUACGUG
rnacentral:rRNA from 1 species